UUGGGGGAACUCCCUCCUCAUUUCAUAUACCUCUUCCAUGAAGGAGGUAAGUUUAUGAUCAACAUCCUUCACGAUAAGUUCGGAUGUUUCGAGAUUCUCUCGUUUGGCCACUAUCGUGGCCUUUCCUUUUAACCAAGUACAGGUUGCGACUCCGACAAAGGAUUCGGCCAGUUUCUACUAUGAUACCACCUUGUCAGAAGCCUUUAACAUUAUUAUCUGAUUUGAAGCAAAUGAAAAAGAAAGGACAAAAAAGAAUAGGAGAAGAAGAACAGAAGACCGAAGUCCAAAAGAGAAAUAGAUAGU
rnacentral:lncRNA from 1 species